AGGUGGGAGGUGGAGUCACGGGAAGGGCGAGACGUCCAUGAGAGAGUCGAGAGAGAGAGAGAGAGAGUGAGAGGGAAAGUGCGGAGUAAAAGAAAAAAAGCAGAAGAUGGGCAAGAGAAAUGGGGAUCUCUAUAUCUAUACGCCUCGCUUUGUUGUUUUCCCAAUUCCAUGCGUUCCUUCAUCCGAAGCUUCUUUUUCUCAUGUAAUGAACUUGUUUAUACUGAGCUGCCAUCUAUCAUUGUUCUUGACAAGAAGAUGGCCGUGAAAAGCCCUUGUUAUGAGUUACUUUACAUCUUCUAAACAUCUUUUGCAUGGAAUUUGAGACACCCGCCCACAAAGGCAACCUUUUGGAGUUCGCACGCACUUUCUAAAAGCCCCCAUCUAUCUAUCCCGAUUCCUCCGGAAACACGAUGAAUGUGAGUCGUGACCAGCAAAAUUGCUUCACAGCCGAAAGAUCUGUGUCUGCAGGCAAAGUCAAUGUCAAAUAAAUAAAUAGACUCUUCAGAAUUAUUAUGGUUUGACUUUGUUUUCAAUAUUCAACUAAUUUAUGCAAUACUGGUCUUUGGCCGCAAUCCCUGGUCGCCAUUUUUGGCUCUCUUUUCCUUUUCUUGUUAAUAGAUCAUCUUUAUUCUUCAUCAGUAAA